GAGGAAUAUUGGUCAAUGGGCGAGAGCCUGAACCAGCCAAGUAGCGUGCAGGAUGACGGCCCUCCGGGUUGUAAACUGCUUUUAGUUGGGAAUAAAAAAAGGGACUUGUCCCUUCUUGUAUGUACCUUCAGAAAAAGGACCGGCUAAUUCCGUGCCAGCAGCCGCGGUAAUACGGAAGGUCCAGGCGUUAUCCGGAUUUAUUGGGUUUAAAGGGAGCGUAGGCGGAUUGUUAAGUCAGCGGUUAAAGGGUGUGGCUCAACCAUGCAUUGCCGUUGAAACUGGCGAUCUUGAGUGCAGACAGGGAUGCCGGAAUUCGUGGUGUAGCGGUGAAAUGCUUAGAUAUCACGAAGAACUCCGAUCGCGAAGGCAGGUGUCCGGGCUGCAACUGACGCUGAGGCUCGAAAGCGUGGGUAUCAAACAGGAUUAGAUACCCUGGUAGUCCACACAGUAAACGAUGUAUACUCGCGGUUUGCGAUAGACAGUAAGCCGCCAAGCGAAAGCAUUAAGUAUACCACCUGGGGAGUACGCCGGCAACGGUG
rnacentral:rRNA from 1 species